AAUCAACGCUGGCGGCGUGCCUCAGACAUGCAAGUCGAACGAUUAAGACUUCCUUCGGGAAGUGCAUAAAGUGGCGCACGGGUGAGUAACACGCAAGUAAUCUACCCUCGAGUGGGGAAUAACGUUCGGAAACGGACGCUAAUACCGCAUAACGCAGCGGCACCGCAAGGUGACAGUUGUUAAAGGAGCAAUCCGCUUGAGGAGGAGCUUGCGGCAGAUUAGCUAGUUGGUAGGGUAAUGGCUUACCAAGGCUACGAUCUGUAUCCGGUCUAAGAGGACGGUCGGACACACUGACACUGAAUAACGGGUCAGACUCCUACGGGAGGCAGCAGUCGGGAAUUUUGGGCAAUGGGCGAAAGCCUGACCCAGCAACGCCGCGUGAAGGAUGAAGUAUUUCGGUAUGUAAACUUCGAAAGAAUAGGAAGAAUAAAUGACGGUACUAUUUAUAAGCUCCGGCUAACUACGUGCCAGCAGCCGCGGUAAUACGUAGGUCGCAAGCGUUGUUCGGAUUUACUGGGCGUAAAGGGCGCGUAGGCGGCGCGGUAAGUCACUUGUGAAAUCUCUGAGCUUAACUCAGAACGGCCAAGUGAUACUGCAGUGCUAGAGUGCAGAAAGGGCAAUCGGAAUUCUUGGUGUAGCGGUGAAAUGCGUAGAUAUCAAGAGGAACACCUGAGGCGAAGGCGGGUUGCUAGGCUGACACUGACGCUGAGGCGCGAAAGCCAGGGGAGCAAACGGGAUUAGAUACCCCGG
rnacentral:rRNA from 1 species